UUUUGCCAGAGAAAAAAAAAACAUGGACUUAUUUUCUGCUGAAGUAAGCUGAUAUAGAGAAUGAAAGCAUGUUCAAACUCAUACCUCGAGAAAUUCAGGCCUUGCAAGUUUCAAAAGCCAAAUCUAUCCAGGGGUGGAAAUGCCUCCCCCGUAGAUUACUUCUCUUUCUCAAAUCAGAGAAUGUCAAUUGAUAACUAGCACCUGGGUCUUUAUCUACACUGGAUGGGAUUUGUACAUUCAAUGUUAUUUGUAAGUUACUGAACAAUGGUAACUGUUCACAAUUCCAUUAUCCUUCUGAGAGAAUUACAACCUGCCAUUUGUACCUGACAACAUAAUGUACAAUAGCCCAGCCCACAAAACAACUUAUUAUAACCAACGUUACUACAGUAUACAGUACAUAGUUUUUGGAGAGACUUGAGCCAGCCAUACAUUAAAAGUAGGCUACAUCCUAGUGAACAGAACAGUUUUGAGUUCAAGUGUUCACAAUAAUGCUUAUAACAACAACAUAGUAAUACAUGUUAUUUUACACAGUUAUAGAUAAAAUGUGAUGAGGCAAUGUGAUGUGAAUGUGAUGUAGGCCUAGCACUACUAAUGCUACAUCUGCUGUUUCUGAAUUCUUAACAGACAGACCAGGGCUGCCCAGUCCAGAGAACUAUGCCGUGGCUGGCCAUUGCCAAAUACUGCGCAGUGUUUGGUUCUAGCCACAACUGACGAUGCGGCCGUUGCAAAUUAAUGUUCAAUACAAAUUAAUGUAGGUGCUCUGGCAAUCGCAUUGCCGGUUAGUCAACACAGUUCACCCAGCUUUCGUAAGGUUGUAUCACAAUGACUGAUUUGAAACAAGACCUUCAGUCUACAUUGUUCAGAAUGUUUUCAUGUUACAAAUGACCACUAACAGAAAACGAACGGACUAUACUAGCUACAACAGCUAACCAGCUAACGAACUAAAUUGCUAGGAUAGCCAGCAACGCUAACAUCAGGGUCUUCACUGCCACUAAGAUGGGUUUGUCGCCAUUGCCUCCAAAGUCUUCCUUCAAGAAAUCCUGCAUGCCCUCUGCCUCACACAGGUGGACCU